GAGUACUUACGUUUCCUCGGUGGGUUCGCCCGCCGAUUGGACAAUUUAAACCAUUUGCAGUUGCAAUCAGCGUCUGAAAAACAUAAUAGUUACAACUUUCAACAACGGAUCUCUUGGUUCUGGCAUCGAUGAAGAACGCAGCGAAAUGCGAUAAGUAGUGUGAAUUGCAGAAUUCAGUGAAUCAUCGAAUCUUUGAACGCACAUUGCGCCCCUUGGUAUUCCAUGGGGCAUGCCUGUUCGAGCGUCAUUUGUACCUUCAAGCUUUGCUUGGUGUUGGGUGUUUGUCUCGCCUUUGCGUGUAGACUCGCCUUAAAACAAUUGGCAGCCGGCGUAUUGAUUUCGGAGCGCAGUACAUCUCGCGCUUUGCACUCAUAACGACGACGUCCAAAAGUACAUUUUUACACUCUUGACCUCGGAUCAGGUAGGGAUACCCGCUGAACUUAAGCAUAUC
rnacentral:rRNA from 1 species